ACCCGGCCCGGCAGCCGUACCGCAGAUGAGCCCGCGCCCGCGCCGCUCAGUUUUCUGAAAGGGAACCUUGUAAGAUCAGUUAUGGGCUAUGAUGAAACCAUUUUAAGUCUCUGUUCUUUGCCAAGCUCCAAGGUCUAUGAAAUCUGAUGGUGUAGGAAAUGCUCAUCCAGUAUCCGCAGUGCUGUUUAAAGAGAAAAGGCCCAGGUGAAGCCUGUUACUAGAAGACUGAGUGAUAUGAGGGACUAGCUGCCUGGGAUGAGAAGCCGAGACUAGUAUGUAUUACAAUGGAGGAGAUGUCUGGUUUGAGGAUAGUGGGAAAGUAGGGAAAUGAAAUGAAGGCUGUUUAUUUAGUUGGCUUUCUCAGUGUCAGUGAGGUUUGAAUGUGAACAUGCACUGGACACUGACUUGGAGGAAUGCUUAUUUGGAAUUCUGGGAGUCUGCACUGGAUUUAUUUAGAAAUUUUAGCUCAGUUGUAGAAUUGCUGAGUUCUUCACCCUCAAAAUGGGGAUACAAAUGCUGAUUUUUAAAGCACUUCAGGAUCCUUAAAUGUAGUAUACCACUGUAAGCUUCAAAGAUAGUUUCUUCACUUGGUUGCAGUCUUUGAAAUGGGAUUCAGCUGAAGCUUUACAAAGUAGUAUUAGAACUCCCAAUGACAGACACCAGUC
rnacentral:sRNA from 1 species